UAUGUACUCCUUCCAUCCAACAAAGGAUGUCUUAAGUUUGACUAAAUUUAAAUGCAUCUAUACACUAAAUCAUGUUUAGAUAUAUCAAAAUUUUGACAAACUUGAGACAUCUUUUGUUGGACGGAGAGAGUAUGAG
rfam:Brachypodium distachyon strain Bd21 chromosome 4, whole genome shotgun sequence.